AUAAGGAAAAUGGAGAAAAUAUCUUUGCUCUAGAAAUUACGGGAAAUAAUGUUUACCACACCUUCUACACUUCCAAUUUACACACAUACAUACACCGCCAUACACGACCAUUCGGAGGGGGCACACAGCGACUCCGUCGCCUCCUUCCGACGACCGGCGCAGCACACUCAUAUUCGUCUCUCUCUCUCUUUGUGUCUCAGCCUCUCUUUUGCUGCUCAAACACUCGCCGAUCUCUUCCCUCUGCGUUGCUGCUGCCCGACUGAUUUCGGCGACGCCAUUGCCAUUUUCGGGCAGAUUUAGACAAAGACUUGACUCCGCUUUGUGUAAGCAACCUCCUUUCACCUCAUAUUUGUCCAAUUUCAUCUUUAAUUGAAAGCUAGGGUUUAUACUCAAGUGAUUCUCAUUUCGAAAUUCAGCUAUUUAGACAAAAUUCUAAAGUUUUGAUGGAAAAUUGUUUUUCUAGAGAUCGUUGGGAGGUGAAUUGGAAGAAAAAUAUGAUCUUAAUAUAUAAAUAAAAUGUUAGCUUAGCAUUCUUUAAUCUUUGUUGCUACUUUGACGUGACUUUAGAAUUCACACUGCUAGUAUGAGAUAAAGUAUAGAAAUAAAGUAUACAACUAGAAAUCAUGCUGAAGUGAAACCGUGAAAGAAACCAAAGAGGCAGCUAUUGUGUCAUGUUCUAGCAGCAUAUUGCGACUCCAGUUUAACCAAGUAAACGACCUCAUUUUCUUACCAAAUUUUAGCUUAACAUAGUUUUGCGUGUCUUCUGCCUUGUGACCGAGAUUCAGCUUUAACCGAGUUCAAAUGAAUUUAUAAUGAUUUUUGUAAGGAGACUGCCCCUGUUCUGCCAGGAACUAACAAGGGCAAGGAGAAGGAGAAGGGGAGGAAUAAAGAGAUUCACAUGUCAAAGACAUUGAUUUUGAGAUUUUUAUAAAAAAAUAAUAGCCAAAGGGCAUUUUUGGAAUUCAAUAUCUCAAAUGUAUCAGCGUGAAUUGUCUUCUGCGCAAUUUAUACAAUCUGAAUCUGAAUUGUCUCCAGCCACCGCCAUGGCCGACCUCUCCGCCGCCGCCGCACAUGCGCCGGUUCUUCCACUGAAGGCGUCCUCCGCCGGGCUGUUUGCGGCUCGCUGAAUCUUAACCGAUCUCAUUACCGAGCAGCGCCGCAACUGGAACUCGCUUCUGCUCAACUCCAUCAACAUUUAUUUGUUUUCGCAUUCUCGUCUUAUUCUCGAUAUUGCAUUUUGUAAAUUAGUGAGAUUUGGAGGAGAUUUUGAAAUAAAGGGUUCUACAAGGGGUUUUUACUAAUCCCUAGCUAUAAUUACGAUUCGAGAAUGAUAUGAUGAUAAUUACUCCAUUUUCCUUCUCUAAUUUUGAAUUCCUUUUUUGUUUUCUUUCCAUUGUACGUUGGAGAAUUGAGUUCGUGAUUUUCUGCUGAUUGAUUUUGUCAUUUUUGCUCA